AAGUCGUAACAACCGCGUGAAUUAAUUGAAUCAACUUUAUACCCCGACCUGGAUACUAGAGAAUCUGUUUAGAAUGCACGGAGUGAUGAGUGUGUAUUAAAUGUAAGAGCUUGCUCCCCUCUUUAAUACAUACGGUGUAUCUAAACUAGUAUUACGAGUUUCACUGUAUGCAUGCUUUAUUGCGUGUAUCCAUUGAAACGGAGAUUUUACAAGACCUCUAUAGUUUCAGGCUUUAACUUAGUUCCCUUCAUCGCUGGAACGCAACAACCCCUUUCACCAUUUAUACCAAUUGACUGAUAUGUUUUUAUGGUAGCGAAAGCUACGUAAUAAAACAAAACUAAUCAAAUAUCUAAGCACAACUCUUAGCAACGGAUAUCUUGGUUCUC
rnacentral:misc_RNA from 1 species